rnacentral:rRNA from 1 species
ACUCAAAUGAAUUGACGGGGGCCCGCACAAGCGGCGGAGCAUGCUGCUUAAUUCGAUGCGACGCGAAGAACCUUACCUGGGCUUGACAUGCAGGGUGAAACCGGUGAAAGCCGGCGCUCUUCGGAGCCUGCACAGGUGGUGCAUGGCUGUCGUCAGCUCGUGCCGUGAGGUGUUGCCUUAAGUGGCGCAACGAGCGCAACCCCUGUCCUUAGUUGCCAGCGGAUAAUGCCGGGAACUCUAGGGAGACUGCCGGUGCCAAACCGGAGGAAGGUGGGGAUGACGUCAAGUCAUCAUGCCCCUUAUGUCCAGGGCUGCAAGCAUGCUACAAUGCGCGGUACAAAGGGCGGCGAUCCCGUGAGGGGGAGCGAAUCCCAGAAAGCCGCGCUCAGUUCGGAUCGAGGUCUGCAACCCGACCUCGUGAAGUCGGAGUCGCUAGUAAUCGCAGAUCAGCACUGCUGCGGUGAAUACGUUCCCGGGCCUUGUACACACCGCCCGU